UUAGAGGCACAAUCAAUGGACAAGAAAAAGUCGUUAGCCCGUCUUGAUUAUUACGCUGAGGUGGAGAGGGAAAUACAGCUUUCAUCAAAGCCACCUAUUUUCUUGACGCUACCUUCCUUGAUUUGCUGAAAACAAGCGAGGGCGACGUCCUUUCAAAAGUCAAGACAAGAAUGAAAAGAAUAGACGACAGAGAUUAUGUUGUUUUAAUAGCAGGAGAGACCAGUGCAGGCAAAAGCAGCAUAUUGACCCUAAUUCUUGGUGAAGAGCUUUUGCCAUUCCACAGUUCUGAGUACAACAUCUACAAUGUGUGAAUUGAAAUAUGGAAGAGAGGAAAGGGUAAAGAUACACUAUAACGAAGAAGGAAAGGCUCCCGAGAUAUAGUAUCUUAAAGAAUCCUCGCCUUACUUAGAUCAAAUAUCAGAAUUUGUUCAUGUCAAGUCAGCAAGUUUAAGAGAAAAGACAUCAAACUAACUUGGUCUAACAGAUUAUUACAGGAUGGUUUUGUGAUCGUUGACAGCCCUGAAGUCGGGGAGUCAGAUAUUAUGGACGACAUUGUUGUGAACUACUUACCAAAUGCCUUUGCUUUCAUCUAUGUCAUCAAAAGCAGCAAUGCCGG